UCCCCAUUCCAUAUAUAUGUAACAACGGUGGCUUCCGCAAUUCUUAGGGCGUCAGUUUUUACUGCUAGGGUUAGUUUACGGUUGAGUUGAGCAACGACUAUGGUAGAAAUUACAGUAUGUGAAGGCUCGUCAAGGUUUUUGGCAACACGAAGAAGGAUAUUCGAACGAUUUUUGGUUAAAAAAAGGGCAUUUGUGUCCUCCUAUGAAAAUUCUGGUGGAGGAGAUGCGGUGGUGACGCUGCCUUAGAUGUCGUAGACACCGAACUGAAAAGGGAAUUCAUUGGCAACUAGUUGGCCCAGUGAAAUUCGAGCUCUGUUAUCUUCAAUUCGUACAAUCAUGCUGAAGACCACUGAUGCCAAUGUGUUUGUUAGUGCUCAAAUACCGAUUUCAUUUGGGAUUUAUUGUAAACUUUUAAUAGAAUCAGUUCAAGUAAUUCUUUAAAGUGGAUUAAUAUUUCAUUCUAAUAAUCAUUUUGGGGGGUAUUUAUUUGAUAGUUUCACACUUCACCAUGACAGGUAGUUGGUCAUAUUUUUGGUUGUAUGAUAUCAUUAUUUUAUUUUUAUGUAGGGAAGAGUUGAAGAGGAGAAAAAGGCUUGUAUUUAUGUUCAAGUUAUGCUGUUUGUUGCCUCAUUUUGUGAAUUUAGAUUAUAUAACCGAAACAAAUGUCAUCAUAUGUUCAAAAUGAAUUUUAUAUACCACCCAUGCUACUACUCUCUCGUGUUCGUUUGUGUGGAUGAUAUGAGAUAUAAUAUAUAUGUAAAUUAAGUUAAAUCUGGCUAACUCAGAAAGUGAGCUUCAUGCUAUCAGAAAAGCUAGUUAAUGUAAGCAUUGACCAACUAUGGUGUUAAAGUAGAAUUUUUUCUUUUAUUCAUCUUACAGUAGCAUAUAUUACACAGACAACAAAUUUUAUGUUACCGGUUGUAGCUUGUUGUUCCUAGUAAGAAAGACUCAAGUUAAUAAUAUUUCUACAAUUGGCUUGUAUUAUAUUGUUUUAUACAUUUCCAACCUAUUAUAUGGUGUUGCAUGUCAUAAUCUACAAUGUCUUUUAAUUUGUUUUGCUUAUACGGUUACUAAUUUGUAACUCACAGGUGGCUGUGCAUUUUCACAGUUUAUUAAAUCGAGAAUUUUCUGUAAGAAGGCUACAACAACUCAACAGUCUGUUAAAUCUGUAACUCACAGUUUUGGGCCGAGUGUAAGAAACUAAGGCUUUCAAUUGAUGGCGGAACCUAGGAACGCCGGAUUCUCGUGGAGGAGUGAAACGUCGGCCAUGGAGAAGAUGAAUCGACAAAGGGCUUUGGAAACCAACUCAGAUAAAACAUUGUUUGAUUUUAUGUAUAUUGAGGAAAGAAAGUAUUGUCCGUUGUUUAGGCUUUGGAUACUUAUCAAAAAUCAUAUGCAUGGCAGAGGUUUAAUUCAGAUGGUGACAAACCUUCUACUAAAAUGUAUGCAACAGGUAGUGCACUAUGUUUUUACUUGUGGUGGAAGAGACACGGUAUGGGUUAUCAUUAAAAAACACACUUAGCACUAUUAUAUUACCUUUUCAUAUUCUAAGUUUUAACUUCUAACUACUUGCUCUAAAUACUGAUCAGCCAUCUUGGUUGAAUAGCUUGAACUAACUUCAAAAGAAGUUGAAUACAAUGAGUAGGUUGAUGUGGGGCCAGUAAGUGCAGGAACAACUAUGAUGUGGGAAUGUAAUUGCUAAGAAAGAAUUAACAUGGGGAUCAUUAUGUAUGACGAUUGCAAAAAGGGUCACGAAGGCAAUGAAGUUUUGAGUUUUUAUUCAAAUAUUUGGUAGUUUUAUGUUUUAUAUGUUUAAGAAUUAAAGUUAGAUUUGUAAAUGUUUGAAUUUUUGGAAGACGAUUUAACUUUUAAUUCAAUCGAUGUUAUGAAUUCUAUAUUUCAUAA